CUACGAUCCGGGAAGAGCUGGGAUGUGUUUUGCCCUCCUGAGAUGGGAGCUGGGAGACACCAAGUUUCGUCCAAUCAUUCAUAUAGAUAAAAUAAAUAAUGUGAUAUGAAAUUUGGGUUGUAGACGGAUUCGUCAUGGGCCAUCUGUUCUCACUGGAGGUCAAUUGCAAAUCUUUUAAGUCAUGGGUCACCCAGCACCUCA
rnacentral:lncRNA from 1 species